AUUGAACGCUGGCGGCAUGCCUUACACAUGCAAGUCGAACGGCAGCACGGGUGCUUGCACCUGGUGGCGAGUGGCGAACGGGUGAGUAAUACAUCGGAACAUGUCCUGUAGUGGGGGAUAGCCCGGCGAAAGCCGGAUUAAUACCGCAUACGAUCCACGGAUGAAAGCGGGGGACCUUCGGGCCUCGCGCUAUAGGGUUGGCCGAUGGCUGAUUAGCUAGUUGGUGGGGUAAAGGCCUACCAAGGCGACGAUCAGUAGCUGGUCUGAGAGGACGACCAGCCACACUGGGACUGAGACACGGCCCAGACUCCUACGGGAGGCAGCAGUGGGGAAUUUUGGACAAUGGGCGAAAGCCUGAUCCAGCAAUGCCGCGUGUGUGAAGAAGGCCUUCGGGUUGUAAAGCACUUUUGUCCGGAAAGAAAUCCUUGACUCUAAUACAGUCGGGGGAUGACGGUACCGGAAGAAUAAGCACCGACUAACUACGUG
rnacentral:rRNA from 1 species